rnacentral:lncRNA from 1 species
AUGUUCUCCUGCUGCCGGCCCACCUCUGGGGGCUCUGGCUCCCAGGAACCCCAGGGGUGCCGCUUGUUCCAAUGCUGUAGGCUUUGGCUCCAGCAUAAAAACCAAGGCCUCAGGGCGUUUAUGAGGAGGCGCCAUCAGGCACUGUCUCCACAGAGCUCCACCCAGGACAUGGGGCGCGAGCGGGAGGAAGGGGUCGUCUGCCCCAUCGCCUCGAGGACCUGGGAAGCGCCCUGCGCAGCUAACAGAGGCCAGCGCGGGCUCAAGGGUGCAAGGGCCUCGGCCGGGAAGGGGCCUCCCAUCUGCCCGACCAAGCCCAGCCAGACGGAGCUGCUGGAGCAGGAAUUCCAACAACUGCUGCCCGCCUUGCUGCGCAGGGAUGUCAUCUCUGUUUUCAGCUUUUUAGACGACUAUCAUGGAUUUGCCACCACCGAGGAGGUGCUGGAUCUGCUGUUCACGAAGUGAGCACCUGCCCCUCUGCAGCCCAGGGGUGGGCCACCUGCCGGUGGGGAGGCUGGGGAAUGGUUCUGAGCUUCCCGGGCCUCGGGCUGCUCCCCCGACUGGAGCAGAGUCACCCAGGGCACAGCGGGGUCCUGGAGGGCAGCCCCGGGGCCUGGCCUGUGGCAGGUCGGCCAGAGGGGCUGUGCCGGUGCUCAGCGGCCGUCCUCUCCCCAUGACGGGGCCUGUGCCUCCUCCCCACCAUCAACAGGGUCUUGUUUUGGCCUCUUUUCCCAUUGAAAGGGAGGCUUGAGAGUCCAUCGGGGGUCUGUGUCCUGUGGCUACCAGACAGGGGGACCACGGGGACCCCGGGGCACCCAGACCCACUCGGAUAUCGGCCAUGGGCCUGCCCGGAGCCCUUUCAUGCUCAAGCAUUCAGGAGGCGCCAGCAGGUGCGGGCGCUUCUCUGGGACCUGCCCGUGGCCCCAGGCACAGAGCUGACAGCCCCCAGGGCUCCGGCCUAGUCGGGGGUCAGAGGGUGACAGCCCCCAUGGUGAGAGGUCGCGGCCACAGGACGAUUCAUGGGAUGCCCCCGCCCUCCUCUAGAUAUGGGUGCAUCGCAGCUGCGUGUGGUGGCAACGACGCGGUCCUGCAGCGCUGGAAACUGUGAGUGACUCCGGCUCCUGCAGGCGGGCCUUCCCCUCCAGGAGGGCAGCGAGGGGGCUGUGGGUCGGGGGGUGCUGGGCCCCCAUGGUGAGAGGUCGCGGCCACAGGACGAUUCAUGGGAUGCCCCCGCCCUCCUCUAGAUAUGGGUGCAUCGCAGCUGCGUGUGGUGGCAACGACGCGGUCCUGCAGCGCUGGAAACUGUGAGUGACUCCGGCUCCUGCAGGCGGGCCUUCCCCUCCAGGAGGGCAGCGAGGGGGCUGUGGGUCGGGGGGUGCUGGACCCUCACCCCACACAUCUGCAAUUCCCGUGACAGGGUAAAGGUCUAAGGGCCCUUCAGGAAGAGGAAAGGANGUGAAUAGGCUGUGGGCUUGGUGGGAGAGCACUGGGACCCCGAAGGGAGACCUUCUCCAUGCCCGCCCUUCCCAACCCUCUGUCUGCCCCACACCUGGGACCCAGAGCAGAGGGGGUGGGGAGCAUCACACUCCCCAAUCUGGUGGCACCUGCACCCAGGUGCACAGCAAGUUGCCAGGAGGGCCAUUGAGGGCUCACAGACCAGGUGUCCCUUGCCCUGUGGGAGACGGGAGAUUAGUCAGUGGAAGGACACCCCCUGGGGCCCCUCAUGAGGAAGGCAGCGCAGAGCCACAGGAGGGAAAGUGGAGGUCCCGGGUGGCUCCAGGCAAGGCCUGGCAGGACACAGCGCCCGAGCCCUCCUCGCUUGGACCUUCCCAGAGCGACAGUGUGUGCAGUGAGGGCAAUGACAGGCCAGACACCCACCCACCCCCCCCGCCCCGUCCCCGGACGCCUGCCGGUGGAUUCAAGGGGCAAGUGGUCAGGGAGCCAGGCUGAGGAGGGAGCCCCGCUUCCCCAGCAAAGACAGUGAUGGUCACACCGCUGGGUGUGGGCUCCCCCGCACAGAGGCUUCAUGCCAGCCCCUCCUCGGUGAGCAGGCCUGGGCAGGCAGGACCGCCAGGUGGCAGGUGGACGAGGAGCAGGACUGGCCUCCAAUAGCCCCGGGCGGGAGGCCGAGGCCCCGGGUCCUGCAGGGCUUCCCCGGGACACCUCAGUGGGAGGGAGCCCUGUCUCUGACGCCUGUGUCCACCUGUCCUCCCCAGGGCCAUCUGCUGCAUCCUGGAAAUAUGGAUGGAUUAUUAUGGGGAGGACUUUUGUCAGCUCCCAGAAUUUGCCUCCCUGAAGAAGAUUCUGGAAUUCAUACGGCAGCGCAUGCCAGGCACAGACGUGGAGCUCCUUGCCCGGCGUUACCUCCAACAACUCAGACGCCUCCAUGCAGCGGAGCCAGAGGCUGGGGGUGAGGAGGCCUGGGGGUGGCUGAGCUGGGUACAGGGUGGGCCCCACGGAUCCAGCGUCCGUGCAGCUGGGCCGCGAGCAGUGGUUAGGCUCACACCCCAUCCCACGAGCUGUAGGCUGAGGACACCUCCCAGGGCUCUUGCCCCACCCCCCCCACCCCCCCCCAUUGAGUGGUGGGAAGAGUGUCCUUGAUUUGGGAGGGAUGGGGAAAGUCCGUCCUGGUGGUGAUACUUUGUCUUCUUGUAGCUACAGCUUUGGCCCGAGCAAAAGACCCUGAAACACUUCAGGAGCCCACCCCAGCUCCAACUCUGGGGCCUGCUGCCUCGGUAGGGCCUGAAGUGCUCGAGGCCAUCCUGGCUGCUGGGGCUGAGGACUUGGCUCCAGCUGAGGUGCCAGCUGGGGAAGCUAAUCCCCUGCAGAUAGUGGUCACUGCUCUAGUUCACCACUACACCCUGGACGAGCCACCUACACCCGUGGCCACCCCGGAGGAGGAGCAGGCCCCGGCACCUGCCGUCGGGGUCCCCACAGUGCCAGAGCUGCCCCUUGCCUCCGGAACAACUGGCUUCAACCUGUGAGCAGCCCCCUGACUACCUUGGGAGCCCACCCCAGCUCCCACCGCGGGGCUCGUGAUGGCUGCAGCCCAACGGAGGCUUGCCCUCCCCUGUCAUUUGACUGUUUCUACAUUUUGAGUUUUUCUUUAACCUGUAUAAUGGCUUAUGAGUUUUAUUGUAAUAAAGUAUAAGUUAACCUCA